rnacentral:tRNA from 1 species
GUUCAUGUAGCUUAAACCCAAAGCAAGGCGCUGAAAAUGCCUGGAUAAACUAUACUAGUUUCAUAAACA